rnacentral:rRNA from 1 species
AACGGGUAGAGCCGGGCACUCUGGCGGGACUGCCAUCGACAAGAUGGAGGAAGUGGGGAUGACGUCAAGUCAUCAUGGCCCUUAUGUCCAGGGCGACACACGUGCUACAAUGGCCGGCACAGCGGGAAGCGAGGCAGUGAGUGCCAAGCGGAUCCCUUAAAGCCGGUCUCAGUUCGGAUUGAAGUCUGCAACUCGACUUCAUGAAGCUGGAAUCGCUAGUAAUCGCAGAUCAGCCAAGCUGCGGUGAAUACGUUCCCGGGCCUU